rnacentral:rRNA from 1 species
GAUGAACGCUGGCGGCGUGCCUAACACAUGCAAGUCGAACGGAGAAACGCGUUGCUUUCUCGUCGGAGUGUAUCAGCGGCCGACUGGUUAGUAACUCGUUAGCAACCUUCUCCCUCUUGCUGGACAACGGCAAGAAAGUGCUGCUAACACAGGAUAUAUUGGACCUGUUGCAUCAUGGGUCAGGGACAGUUUUUGUUUCGGUGGGAGAUGGAUCCGCGGCGCAUUAGCUUGUUGGUGAGGUGACGGCUUACCAAGGCGGCGAUGAGUAGCCGACCUGAGAGGGUGAUCGGCCACACUGGAACUGAGACACGGCCCAGACUCCUACGGGAGGAAGCAGUAGGGAAUAUUAUGCAAUGGGCGGAAGAAUGAUGGAGCAACGCCGCGUGGGGGAGGAUGGUCUUCGUCGCGUAAAGCUCUGCUAUCGGGAAAGAAGAAAGGUUGACUUAUCUAUGCGUGUGUUGACGGUACCUAAACAGAAAGCCCCGGCUAACUACGUG